rnacentral:lncRNA from 1 species
AGGCUAAGAAUGUGAAGAAUUAGUGUACAAAGGAUCAUGAACUCAGCCACAAAAGGACACACAUCCUUGCCAUGCAAUCCACAUAGCAUUCCCUUUGGAUUCCCAUGCAUGCUUAGUCAUCCUUGUCCCCUAAAAUGUUUCUGAUUUCAUGCCUCACUACACUCAAUUAUCACACUCAAUUGCUGCAUACCUAUUGUUCCCUUCACCCAUCAGAUUUCACACAUACUUUCACAAACAUUCCAUGCACCAAUUGAUGCUCCAUCAUCCACAUUUGGGAUCCAAUGCCAUGUGCAACACAUGUUGCUGCACCUUUGACUAAUUUCUGAAACAUUUCACCUCCCCUUUUCAUUUCCAUGCAAUAAACACAAUCAUUCAUGCUCCCUAGCUGAAAUACCACUCCAUUUUACCCUCCAUACUUUGCAUCAUUGCUCCAUUU